AAUAAACGUUAUUGCCUAUAUAAUUACCAAGAUAUGGUUGGUGAGUUUCUACCUAGGGCCGUAAAGCCUAGACUAUAAGCAAAAAGAUUUU
rnacentral:ncRNA from 1 species